GUGGGAUGCCUGGUGAUGACCUUUGCUGGCGUCAACGACCUCCUCGGAUACUGGAUCUUCGGUCCACGUUUCUGCGACACCUGGGUCGCCUUCGACGUCAUGUGCAGCACUGCCUCCAUUCUCAAUCUGUGCGCCAUAUCGCUCGAUCGCUACAUUCACAUAAAGGAUCCGCUGAGAUAUGGUCGCUGGGUAACGAGAAAAAAAGCAAUAUUAGGCAUCGCCAUAGUGUGGCUUUUGGCAGCUCUCAUAUCUUUCGUACCUAUCAGUUUGGGCCUCCAUAGGCCAGAUCAACCUCACGUUUUUCACGUUGGCGAAGAGGAGUAUGAUACGUGUGCCCUAGACUUGACGCCCACCUACGCCGUGGUCUCAUCUUGCAUAUCAUUCUACUUUCCCUGCAUGGUGAUGAUCGGGAUCUACUGCAGACUUUACUGCUAUGCUCAAAAACACGUCAAAAGUAUCAGGGCAGUGACAAAGUUACCGGAUACCUCCCUGACUAAGAGCUUCCGCUCCAAAAGUGCUCGACACAAGUCUCCAAAGCCUCAGACGAAAACGAAGCCAACGACUCCUUAUCACGUAUCCGAUCACAAGGCAGCCAUCACUGUCGGUGUUAUCAUGGGUGUCUUUCUGAUAUGCUGGGUUCCCUUCUUCUGCGUUAAUAUCGUAGCAGCAUUCUGUAAGACUUGCAUACCAGAUCGAGCUUUCCAGGUUCUCACCUGGCUCGGCUACAGCAACUCGGCCUUCAACCCGAUUAUCUACAGCAUCUUUAACACCGAGUUCAGAGAAGCAUUCAAGCGAAUUCUCACGAAAGGUGCCCGGGCGCGAGGAAAUCAGCCCUCAACCAGCGAAGUUGGCGAAUUUCGCUCUGUAGUUGUUCAAAAACGCAACGGAUCCAUUGUCGAGUGCAACAUUAGUCCUAGGUCAAGUGCUGAUAGCUGCCAAGUUGGAUCCAUAGCUCAAAGGCAUCGGGACACCAUCGUUAGCGCUAUUUAAUUAAUUAAACUAAAUAUAUCUACUUCAUCAAAGCAGCAUGUCGUCAUCAUGAUCAAGACAAUCACAAGAGACUUUUUCAAAACAUAUCCUAAGUGUUUAUCACACACGAUCAACUGUUUCGAGCCUCUCUCUCGCAAAUUUCAAAGACGCAAAGAAGCAGAAAUAUCCUAGAGAGAAUCCAGAAAUAUUCGAGAAAGAAAACGCUCGAGCUAAAACAAUGACUUGGGUAUUUGCAGAGGCGUGAGGUUCGACGCAAUACCGAGAAUUAUCAGAAAAUAUCACCAUUCCUACAGUAAUAUCUGUUGAUUCGACAUUUACUAGCGAUAUCAAAAAUCGCAGGCUGUGUUCUGUGAGAAUUCAUUUCCAUCUUGUAAAAUGUAAAUAAUCAUUUAUUUAUUUUUCUAUUUAACGGGAAACGGCGGUAAGGCUCGCGAAGAGCGGUGAUUAAACAUAGUUCCAAUUGGCGAUGAAAAAGCUGCAAGUUGUUAAAAAAGAAAAAAACAAGAAAAAUGAAAAUAUUACGACUCCCGUUGAAUCUAACUCGAUCUUGUAAAUCACAUAUCCGAACGAGAGGAAUUCGAGAACUCAUUACGAGUUUUUUUUCGAUAAAUUAGCUUUAAAUUACGUAUACGAUUCACUGACGAAAAGUUAAAAUUUUUUCAAGGGUCUUUUGCAGUGAUGGGUAUGUUACUUUUUAAAUUAUCGUUAGCGUUACACUACGAAAAAGUAACUAGUUAUCGUUAUCGUUACCAUUUCAAAAUGUACCUUUUUAUCAGUUACCACUGGUUUUUUUUUUUGUUUUUUGUUUUUUACUCAUUUGAAUCAUGACCCAAUUUUAGUUAUGGGCUAUUUUUACUGAUGAAUUAGCAAGUUUGAUUAAUUCUUCAGUAAAUAGUAACUAGUUCAUAGCUAGAAUUAAGCCUGUUAUUGCAAAAAGUAAAAAUGGUAAAUGUUUCAUAUUUAGUGAGUAUAUAUAAUUUUAAUCACUUGUUACAAUAAAAAGAUCACUU